UGAGGAAUAUUGGUCAAUGGGCGAGAGCCUGAACCAGCCAAGUAGCGUGCAGGAUGACGGCCCUAUGGGUUGUAAACUGCUUUUAUAUGGGAAUAAAGUGAGGGACGUGUCCCUUAUUGCAUGUACCAUAUGAAUAAGGACCGGCUAAUUCCGUGCCAGCAGCCGCGGUAAUACGGAAGGUCCAGGCGUUAUCCGGAUUUAUUGGGUUUAAAGGGAGCGUAGGCUGUCUAUUAAGCGUGUUGUGAAAUAUACCGGCUCAACCGGUGGCUUGCAGCGCGAACUGGUCGACUUGAGUAUGCAGGAAGUAGGCGGAAUUCAUGGUGUAGCGGUGAAAUGCUUAGAUAUCAUGACGAACUCCGAUUGCGCAGGCAGCUUACUGUAGCAUAACUGACGCUGAUGCUCGAAAGUGCGGGUAUCAAACAGG
rnacentral:rRNA from 1 species